ensembl:lncRNA
GAAAAAGUACAUUUGUUAAUUGUUCCGUUUCCAUGGCACCGAAGUCUUCAGGCUUUUUAUCUCUUGUUUUGACAAGCUGUCUUUGUACUGAAAGACCAUAGAGAUCAUAAGCGGGUUUUAUGCUGAAUGCUUUUGUGCUAUCAGCUCCUUUGUGAUCUGCAAAUGGCAAAUACACAGGCAGCAGGACUGCCAGACAUAAGGACCUGCUAGUCUAUCACUCUCCUUCAUGCCACAGAAAUGAGCUGAGAAACGGGCUGUAUAAAUGACAGGGAGGUGUAGGGCAGAGGCUGAAGUGAGUGAGUUCUCCUUUUGUGCUGACUGCUUCAAGAGGAGCUGAACGGAAUCCUGGAGCUUACAUCUGACUGAUGCAGAAGCACUCAGUGGGCACUGAAGAGAUGUGUACUGCUGUAUUUAGUGUGGCUCUGAUCUUGAACAUGAAGAUGAAAAAAAUUAAGAAGAAAAUUAAGAAGGAAAAUUCAUGCUCAUCAAAACCCAUGGAGAAUCUUCAGUACAUGUUAAACAGCUCCUCACUGCUCUGUAAAACCAGGCUGCGUUCCCUGCAGUGCAAGAGGAAAACAAUGCCACUAUCAAUAAUCUACAGAAGCACUUCUACCAGAUACCUCUGUUUUCAGGAAAAAUUCCAUUUGUCCAGCACUUCUGGCUAGUGUAGCUAUGAGUUAAUAUAUCUUUUUUACCUUAAAAAAAAAAAAAAAAAUUGAUCAAGGCCAAUCUCAG